rnacentral:rRNA from 1 species
GACGAACGCUGGCGGCGUGCUUACCACAUGCAAGUCGCACGAGUGGCGAACGGGUCAGUAAUACGUGUGUAACCUGCCCUCUUUCUGGGAUAAGCCUUGGAAACUGGGGCUAAUACCGAAUAUAGGGGGAUGGGCUCGCGGCCUAUCAGCUUGUUGGUGGGGUGAUGGCCUACCAAGGCGGUGACGGGUAGCCGGCCUGAGAAGGUGACGGGCCACAUUGGGACUGAGAUACGGCCCAGACGCCUACGGGAGGCAGCAGUGGGGGAUAUUGCACAAUGGGCGAAAACCUGAUGCAGCGACGCCGCGGGGGGGAUGAAGGCUUUCGGGUUGUAAACCUCUUUCGCUAUCGAAGGGGUAGGUGGAGAAGAAGCGCCGGCUAACUACGUGACAGCAGCCGCGGUAAUAC